GCCGGAAUAGCUCAGUUGGUAGAGCAGAGGACUGAAAAUCCUCGUGUCACCAGUUCA
rnacentral:tRNA from 11 species